rnacentral:rRNA from 1 species
UGCCAGCCUCCGCGGUACUACUGGGUGUGCAAGCGUUGUUCGGAAUUAUUGGGCGUAAAGCGUGCGUAGGCGGACUGUUAAGUCUGAUGUGAAAUCCCGCGGCUCAACCGCGGACGUGCAUUGGAUACUGGCAGUCUCGAGUCCUGGAGAGGAGAGCGGAAUUCCUAGUGUAGAGGUGAAAUUCGUAGAUAUUAGGAGGAACACCAGUGGCGAAAGCGGCUCUCUGGACAGUGACUGACGCUGAGGCACGAAAGCAUAGGUAGCAAACAGGAUUAGAUA